rnacentral:rRNA from 1 species
CCGAGAAUAUUCGUCAAUGGGCGCAAGCCUGAACGAGCGACGCCGCGUGCGGGAAGAAGGCCUUCGGGUUGUAAACCGCUUUUCUACGGGAAAAAUUUUGAUUGUACCGUAGGAAUAAGGAGCUGCAAACUACGUGCCAGCAGCCGCGGUAAUACGUAGGCUCCAAGCAUUAUCCGGAUUUAUUGGGCGUAAAGGGUGCGUAGGGGGUCGGGUGCGUUUCUUGUUAAAUCUUGCCGCUCAACGGCGAGGCUGCGGGAAAUACGGCCAGACUAGAGGAUGGGAGAGGUCUGUGGAACUCAUGGUGUAGGGGUGAAAUCCGUUGAUAUCAUGAGGAACACCAAAGGCGAAGGCAACAGACUGGCCCAUUUCUGACCCUGAGGCACGAAAGCGUGGGGAGCGAAAAGG